AUAGACAACUUAUAGAUGGGAAACUCUCCUACUAAACGUUUGGAGGUGAUUUUAAUUUCAUCAACACCCACCAGACAGCGCUCGCAUCGUGGUUUUCGGUCUUUCGUUACGAUUUCCAUCAUAAAGUAAGUCAAGUGGGUGUGUUCUGUGAUUUCCAUUUCCUCUGUCUCAUAGACAACUUAAGUUGUCUAUGCUCUGUCUUUCACUGUUGAACUGUCACAGGGGUAACAUUGAGUUUUUGGUUAGCCGGGUGAGCGAAUAUUGGAAUAUUCUAAAUUUCAACAUGGAAAGAAAUAUGAGGUUGAAACCUAAGUGUUGUGUUCCAAAUUGUGAGGAUAGGACAUGCAAGCGUCAUCGGUUUCUGAAUCCAGAAAAAUAUCCUACUCUCUUCAAACUUUGGGUGGAAAAAGUGAAUAAUUCUAUCCUAAAAAAUAAAACACCACAACAGAUACGGAAAACAUAUCUUGUUUGUGAUAGACAUUUUCCAAAAAAUCACAAAACAGAGGGCCGAAAAGGACCCGUCCUGGUUUCUUCCUGAUGAAAGUGAUGAUGUUCUGGAAAUGCAAGAAUGUACGAAUGUUCCAGAGAUCCAUGAAGGCAACAAUGAUCUGAUGAUAGGGGAACCUCCUGGCUGUUCAAAUUCCAUCCACUUAUUGAGACGAGGAGCAGUCAAGAAAAGGGUGAUGAUGAACAUUCACGAAAAAAUUUUACUGAAAAGACUGACUUAUCAGAAUAGAAAAUAUAAUGUUUGGUUUUUUCAA